UAUCUGUCAUUAAGAGAUGACAAUGAGCAGACCUUAUUUGAUUGUCAAGAGUUAUUCAUUGUUUCAUGAGGAGGUGAAGUGCAAAAUGUUUAUGCUGUAGGGUGACUCGAAAAGCAUUGGUUAAUUAAAGAUUCCCUUUGAUCUAUACCCAGCCUGCAUAAGCUUUCAGAUUUUGAAGGGCCCCGAUCGGGGGGACGGGUGAAAGUAAGGGCUACGGGCUAUCCCGCUCCUAACUGACCGAACGCCCAUAGGGCGUAGCCGUUACGCGCUGACAGUGACCCGUAUGUCGGACUUUUCACUCCGCCCUCUGACCUCGCGCCCGCAUUUGCUGACCGGCUGUCGGACUCCACACUCGCCGCCCGAUGGGCUUCUACCUGCAACAACCGCUUUGGUCAUCGCACUCUCGACUUUGGUUAUUUCACUUUCUAGGAAAUGCUGAAGAUCGGGGAUCGUGCUUAGUCAAAGCAUUGUAAUAAUGCCGACUACAAAACAGUCAACAGAUAACUCCACAGCGUGGCUGAAGAUGAGCCAAGCUGAAUGUAUAGUGAUAUUCAAUAUCCUGGAAGGGUUGUAAGAAAAUCAACUGACAUGGUAUGUGACGAGACUGGUUAUUCCCAAUCUGGAAUGAGUGGAAUUAUAAAAGAAGAACUAAAAUAUUUCAUCACUCUGCAUAUGAAACAGGAUUAUUGCUGUACCAGUAAGUGUUUUGAAGUGGCUUCUUAAAUUGCUACUUUUUUAUUAUGUGAGCUUAAGUACUUUAUUUUGCAAGGAGAGAGAUUCUUGCAGUGAGUCUGACUGGGUUUAGCUAUAAGUCAGUCUCACAAGAUAAAUGCUCCACUUUCAUUUAAGUGUCCUGUCACUUGAUAGCUUGUCAAAAUUUUAAUUUUUCCAUUUUUAAUGUUCCUGUUCAAGUAGAUUGAAAACUUUAGAUAUAGAUAUGUAAAAGAGAGAGAUAGCAUAUCUAACCAUACACUGAAAACUACUGACAUUUCAUCAAUACAUGAAAGAUGUUGCUACUCAUAACGAGAUAAUUGUUACGACAGAGCAGGCUCUUUUAGUCAAAAUGCUUCAUUGAAGAAAUAGUGGGGCAGGCUGGUAGAAAUUGUGGUGCUAGUUAUGUAGGGCAAAGGUUGGGAUACUGAGAGCAUACUUGAUUGUUUUUGUUUUGUUUUUGCAAGUCAAUAUGUUUUCCUGUUUGGUUUGCAUAUGACCCUGAAGUAGACUGUAGUUUCAUGUACAAAUGUAUUACAAUGAAACAUUUGUAUUUGACUUUUAACCAUCACAAUUUCCCUUUGUGCACAGCAGCAGCCUGGGGAUAUUAUAUCUGCCACUGCUUACAAAUAGUUUGGAAGUAACAGGCAAGA